rnacentral:rRNA from 1 species
AUUGAACGCUGGCGGCAUGCUUUAAACAUGCAAGUCGAACGGCAGCGCGGGCUUCGGCCUGGCGGCGAGUGGCGAACGGGUGAGUAAUGCAUCGGAACGUGCCCAGUAGUGGGGGAUAGCCCGGCGAAAGCCGGAUUAAUACCGCAUACGACCUGAGGGUGAAAGCGGGGGACCGAAAGGCCUCGCGCUAUUGGAGCGGCCGAUGUCGGAUUAGCUAGUUGGUGGGGUAAAGGCUUACCAAGGCGACGAUCCGUAGCUGGUCUGAGAGGACGACCAGCCACACUGGGACUGAGACACGGCCCAGACUCCUACGGGAGGCAGCAGUGGGGAAUUUUGGACAAUGGGGGCAACCCUGAUCCAGCCAUGCCGCGUGCGGGAAGAAGGCCUUCGGGUUGUAAACCGCUUUUGUUCGGGAAGAAAUCCUCUGGGCUAAUACCCCGGGGGGAUGACGGUACCGGAAGAAUAAGCACCGGCUAACUACGUG